GUGCAGCAGUCGCGAAACCUCCGCAAUGCACGCAAGUGUGACGGGGGAUUCCAAGUGUUAUUGCAUUUUGUGUGAUAACUUUUCUUAAAUGUAAAUAGUUUGAGGAAUAAGGGCUGGGUAAGACGGGUGCCAGCCGGCCGCGGUAAUACCCGCAGCUCAAGUGGUCUGGAGUUUUAUUGGGUCUAAAGCGUUCGUAGCUGGGUCUAGUAAGUUCUCUGUGAAAUCUAACGGCUUAACCGUUAGGCGUGCAGAGGAUACUGUAGACCUCGAGACUGGGAUGGGUCAAGGGUACUCUCGGGGUAGGGGUGAAAUCCAAUAAUCCUGAGGGGACCACCUGUGGCGAAGGCGCUUGGCUA
rnacentral:rRNA from 1 species